GAGUUUGAUCAUGGCUCAGAGUGAACGCUGGCGGCAGGCCUAACACAUGCAAGUCGAACGGCAGCGCAGCAGUAGCAAUACUGUGGGCGGCGAGUGGCGGACGGGUGAGGAAUACAUCGGAAUCUACCUUGUCGUGGGGGAUAACGUAGGGAAACUUACGCUAAUACCGCAUACGACCUACGGGUGAAAGCGGCGGACCGCAAGGCGUCGCGCGAUUGGAUGAGCCGAUGUCCGAUUAGCUAGUUGGCGGGUAAGAGCCCACCAAGGCGACGAUCGGUAGCUGGUCUGAGAGGAUGAUCAGCCACACUGGGACUGAGACACGGCCCAGACUCCUACGGGAGGCAGCAGUGGGGAAUUUUGGACAAUGGGGGAAACCCUGAUCCAGCCAUUCCGCGUGAGUGAAGAAGGCC
rnacentral:rRNA from 1 species